UACAGAGGUCUCAAGCGUUGUUCGGAUUCAUUGGGCGUAAAGGGUGCGUAGGUGGCAUGGUCAGUCGGAUGUGAAAUCCCGGGGGCUCAACCCCGGAACUGCAUUCGAUACUGCCGCGCUAGAGUACUGGAGAGGAGAUUGGAAUUUACGGUGUAGCAGUGAAAUGCGUAGAUAUCGUAAGGAAGACCAGUGGCGAAGGCGGAUCUCUGGACAGUUACUGACACUGAGGCACGAAGGCCAGGGGAGCAAACGGG
rnacentral:rRNA from 1 species